AUGCGCUGCGCUCGCCCACAGCUCCAACUUCACAUUGCACGUCGAGUACGAAUUCUGCGUGCGCUCGCUCUCAGCCGAUCCGGUGGCCUCUUUCGCCACGGACGCCCGCGGGCUAGCGGCGGCCGCGGGCUAGCGGCGGCCGCGGCAAGCCUUACCGUCGCCAACAUAACGUCCACGGAGCUCAUCAUCGCCGACCUCGUCAAAAAUCUGGGCAGUUGUCUCUCCGACUACAAAGAGAUUAAGGACAUGGUGCGGCGUGGGCUCGACGACAUCCGCGGCGGGCGCGCCGCCGAUGCUUCCAAGAAAUUUUUAGAUGCGGCAGAGGCUGACGUUCCGUCUCUGUGCGACCUCAUCUUGAUAGAGGGAGUCGCCAAGAGGAACCCCAUAGAUCAGGAGAACCAGAACGCCUACUUCUUGUCCGUCAUGGCCUCCGAUAUUACCCAGCUGAUGCUGGAUUCUCAUGCAUGA
rnacentral:rRNA from 1 species